AGAAAAGAGGCUGAAACGUGAGCCCUUCUGACCCUCACUUUUGUAUGAAUUUUGUCCUGGCCAGCUUGGAGUGUGCACUGCCAGGAGUGAAGCAAGUUCAAUUUUAGUUAAACUCGACCCCUGAGCUCGCCCCCCUGUCCCAUCACCUUCCCGAGUGAUUAGGGCAUGUGGUGUUUUCUAUUUCUCUCUAGCUCCACUUCUUAAGCAAAAAAGGCAAAGAAAAUUUCAUUGAUUAGCACUGGAUCAAUGCUUCGUCCAGCCAGUUGCUCUGUCUCAGCCUCACAAAACAAGUAGCGAAUGACCUCUAACAGGAAAAAGGAAGGUGGCAGCAAAUCUACUAAAUGGAUCUUACACCACAAAGAACUGCGGUGAGAGUUCAUUCUGCGACAAUUAGACGCUGAAUUCCGGAGGUGAGUCAGAGUGACUGCUCUUGAUGUCAAGACUGCAUUUGACCAAGCAUGCAUCAAGGAUCCCUAGCAAAACUGGAGUCAAUGGGAAUCACGGGGAAAACUCUCCACUGGUUGGAGUUCUACCUGGCACAUAGGAAGAUGCUUGUUGGAGAGCCAUCAUCACAAUCCCAUGACACUUCAGGAGUUUGAGUUGCUUUCCUCAGCCUAACAAUCAUUUGCUGCAUCAUCAACGACCUUUCUUCCAUCAUAAGUCAGAGAAGUUAUCCCUUGCACAAAGAAGAAUUGUUUUUCCAUCUGGAGGCUCGUGACCAGCAAUAUUCUAUAGGAAUUGGUACUGGGUCUACUUUUGUUUAUCAUUUAUUUAAAUGACUUGGAUGAGAAUAUAGGAGGGAUGGUUAGUAAGUUUGCAGAUGAUGUCAAAAUUGGUGGUAGAGUUGAGAGUGAAGAAGGUUAUCAAAGAUUACAACCAGAUCUUGAUCAGUUGGGUCAAUUGGCUGAGAAGUGGCAGAUGGAGUUUAAUUUGGAUAAGCAUGAUCUUCUUCAUUUUGAUAAAACAAACAAGGGCAGAACUUAUAUAAUUAAUAGGUCCUGAGUUCAGACCGGGCUGCUCCGGGGCCCCUUGGGAGAGGAAUCCUGCGCGAAUACGGGUUUUAUUUUAUUUGAUGUUUAUACAUUCCGAGCAUGUAAGAGACUUAGGUAUACACUCUGGUU